UCAAGGGGAGGAGGUGUGGUCAAGGUGAAGGACACAGAACAAGAUGGAGUCCGCCGGCGUAGGCCCGCCCUUUCACUUCCAUGAUCCGGUCUUUCAUCUUCUAAGGCCUUGCCCUCUUUGUAGUCAGCUGUCAGAAAGGAAAAGAAAGAUCACGAAGGAAGGAGUUUUUUUCCAGCCAGACCUGGAAGUGAUGUUCAACAAGCCCACCUUCGUUCCACUGGCCAGCGCUUGGUCACAUGGCCAACCUAAGUGCACAAGAGGCUGGGAAAGUUAGUCCAGCUUGUGUCCAGGAGGAAAAGGAAAUAGAAUUCCAUGAAUACAGAGCAGUCUCUGCCACAGCACAUUUCUUAGAAGACUUCGGAUAUUAAUUUGAUUUUCUCCUUUUGAUAGUCUUGGUUAAUUUAAGGAACUGUGAGACCGCGCCACGGUGGGUAUCCACAUCCCUCUGAGAAAAUAGAUAGGGUUCUGCACUAAAGGUGUUUAUGACAGAGAAAUAGAAAUUAGCAAAAUUGGAAACAAAAAUUAAAGGAGAAGAGAAAAUUGAGACACUGUGAUAUGACAAGAUACAAAUACAUUUUGGUCUUCCUCCAAGCUUCCAGGAAUAUAACCCCUAAAAUGCUUGUGAUUUCCUAAAGUGAGAAGAGCUAUAGGGACAUCUUUUGUUAUAAUAUUUUGUUCUAAUGAUAUAAUAUUUAGUUUUUGUUCCCAGUUCCUGAAAUAGCUCCAGAGUAAUGGAGGUAAAAUGGGUAUCUUUUGUUAUUCAUAACAUGCCUCUUUCAACACUUGACUUUAUGUUAAUAGGUGACUGGGGAAAGGGGGCUGGUUGCCAUGGGAACCAACCCCCAUUACAAAGUUGAAAUUUUCAGCCCUGCCUCCUGGGAGGGGAGAGGAGCUGGAGACCGACUCUGUCACCAAGGGCCAAUGAUUUAUUUAAUCGAUCGUGCCUACAUAAUGAAGCUUCCAAAAAAAUGCUGGUUUGGUGAACAUGCGGAGGUACUGGAAGGGUGGUGUGCCUGGAGAGGCCACGGUAGCUUCAUAUUCCUUUCCCCGUACCCAGCCCUGUUCACCUCUUCUCUCUGGCUGUUCCUGAGUCAUCAGAGACCCGUAUAAUGUUCCUUUUAUCAUAGACCCAUAAUCUAGUUAAGUAAAUUGUUUCCUUGAAUACUGCGAGCCGCUCUAGCAAAUUACCAAACCCAAGGCACGUGUUGUGGGGACCUCCCGUUUAUAGCCCAUCAGAAGCACAGGGAAGAAAUAACCUGGUGCCUGAAAGGUGAGGGGCCACAUCUGUGGGACUGAGAGCCCUUACCCUGUGGGAUCUGACGCCGUCUCCAGGUAGAGAGUAUUAGAAUUAAAUUGUCAAAUUAAAUUAAAUUAAAUUGUUAAAUUUAAUUGAGUUAAAUUCGAGGACAUCCUGCUGGGGCUGGAUCCUUGGGGCGGAGAAAAAGCCUGCACACCUGGGCACCGAAAUGGAAGCGUGAUAGAGGCAGAGUGUGAGAGUAAGGGGAGAAGCGACAUUUUUUUUAAGCUCCAAAACCUUCAAAUACAGAGCUCAAGUGGAGGACGUUGGAGGAGGAUUUUAAGCUAACUCAGGUGACGUCUACACCUACGCACUUGGAGGUCCAUUCCAGAAAGCUAAGCCAAGAGUCAAAAAGAGCCAAGGAAAUGGACAUUUGUAGACCUCGAGGGAAACACAGGUGCAGAGUGAGGGGUGCGAUCCUGAGCACUCAAUGGAAGGCGAGAGGGAGAAGCUUCUAGCACAGCACUUCUCAAACUGGGCUGUGCACACCAGUCACCUGAGACGGUAUGAAAAGGCAGGGCCUGAGGUUCUAACACACGUCCCGAUCGCAUGGGUGAUGCUGAUGCCACCAGCCCAUGGACCAUGCCUGCAGGAGCAAGCCCCUGAAAUAUUUACACCCAUUUUCCAUCGGCCAGUGAAGAGAGCUGAAAAAAUAAAACGAAGAAAUGAAAGCAGGAAGCUCUUAAGUCCUAUCCAGUAGUUUCCCAGGAUUGUCAGCCGCUUGAAUGUUUAUGCCUUACUGGAUAAUUCCUAAAAACAAAAACAAAAACAAAACCCUUAUUGCCUUAUGUCCCAGGUGUUUUCUUUUUUUUGUUAAUGAAGAUACUUGCGUAAGAAAUGUUUCAGGUUGGGUGCCUGGGUGGCUCAGUAGGCUAAGCGUCUGGCUUCUACUUCUUUGGCUUAGGUCAUGA